UAUAUAUAUAUAUAUAAUUAUUUCAUGAGGAAUCUUUUGUAUUAAUUUGUAAUGGUUAAGGUUUUAAUUUCGUUUGUGUGUUCAAUAAGUGGACGUGCAUUUUGUGUUCACUUAAUCUAUAUAUACUAAUAGAAAAAGAGCCUAAGCAUUUUAUGGGACAACUUGUGGAUUGCCUAUAUUACCCCUCUACAUAUUUUAUAUUAUAUAUAGUUAUAAUCUAUUUAUUAUAUAUUUCAUCCGCAUCAUUCCAUAUUGCAUUAGAAUUCUAUUCCUCUUCCAUGACUAUGAAAUUUGAUAAGCAUGGCGAACAUCUCUAAGGUUCGGAUUCUGCUUGAAAGGCUGAUUGCGGAACACCAACAACAACUCAUCCCCCUUCCCCGACCGCCCCAACACCGGAAACCGAACUGAGCACGUUGUCACCUUGCUCUCUUUCGUGCUUCGCCGCCGCUUUCACUGCUGCUCUUAGUCUUUUUCCGGUCGCCGCCUCCCCUAUUCAAAGGCCGUUUGAGGUUAGUUUUGAUUCUCACUUCGUCUGUUAAUAAGCAUUAUUCUGGUGAAUGAAUUGGAAGUGUUUAUAUUUAUUUUGAAGUCCUUGAUUUGCUGUCUUCUUGAAGAUAUUGAAAUUUUCUUUGUUAUUGUUGUUACGAGUUUUCUAUUUCUGCAUUAUUGCUGUGAUAACGAUAUUUUGCUGAAGGGAAUGGUUUAGAUAUAUAUAUUCAUCGCGGAAUAACACAUGUAAGUUAUAUUUAUAGUAUCGAUGUAUAAUAGUGCCGAUUACCAUAAUUUCACCCAAGUUUAGAUCAAGCUUGUUACUACCUUUAUACUAAUAGAAUUCUUUCUUUUUUUCACUCUAAUUCCGUAUAUAUUUAUAUAUAUCAAAAUCUUUAUCGUAUGUACUAACUAAACCAUCGCCAAACCCUAACCCAUAGCUACCAUCACUUUUAGUUUCUCUUACAUUGAUUUUCCAAAGCCGAUCGUCCACCGCAUUAAUCUAAUCAAACCGUGCUGCGCCGUCCGAUAGUGCUUCACCGCCGCUCUUUAGUCUUUUUCUGGUCGCGCAGGACCAACGUUCACAAGAUAACAUCAGCAUUAUCAUUGCUGAUCUGAGGCUAAUAGAGCAGAACAUUGCGUUGGAAUUGGCCCAAGCUGUAGCUACUAUCACUUUAGUUUCUCUUGGAUUUUAAAAUUUAUAUACACUAAUUAUGAGCAUGGAAGUUACAUUGCGCAAAACAAGCUCAUCUUCAGAUCUGAAAUUGUAGAAAUAUCUUUAUGGGAAGAUAUGGUGAAAAAUGAAGGAGAUGAUCUUCAACAAAUAAUUGGACAGAAGCCAACUAUUGCGAUUUCCAAUGUCGUAGCGAAAAGGAAAUUUGGUAACGAACAUAUAAUACAUAUUUUCUUAAAAUAAUACUUACUUUUUUUACUUGUAAAUUACUAUAUACUUAAUAAUAUAUAUAUAUAUACAUAUAUAUAUAUUAAUAUUAUUUAGGUGGUAUACUCUUAUAAAAUACAAUAAGAUCCGUCUUGCAAAUUACACCAACAGGCGAAGAGAUUCAGCCGAUGCAAUCUUCGUAUCAAAAAACAAAUAAAUUAUAUAUUUAAAAAAAUCAUUUUAACAUAUCAUUUAAUAGUAUUUGUAGGUGUUCUGAUGUUGAUGAUCCAUUAGCAAUUGCUAAAUUAGCAAUGACACAAAAAAUAGAACAAGCGAAGGUGGUUACUCUUAAAGAUCUCAGAGACAAUCAACAUUUAUUAUCAGAAGUACGGCAUUUAAAUAAAUUAAUGAUGCAUUUCAAAAGUACAUAAUCGACUAUUUCUAUAAUAUAUUAUUUUUUGAUCAUAUAUUAGGGUGUUUCGUAUUACUUUUCGGGAAUUAUUGACAUAGUUGAAAAUAAAGCAACAAUAUGGUAUGAUUCUUGUAAAAAUUGCAACACAUCCUUCUCCAAAAUUGAUGAGAGUGCAAUAUGCAAAAAAUGCAAUGAAGAAGUUUUUGAGACGUCGCCCAGGUAAUUAUCAAAUUUAAAACUGCUACUAAUUGAAAAUUAUAUAGUGUAGAAACUUCUCUUAUUUCAUAUUACCAUAUAUAUAGGGGGCGCUCCAAUGAGACCCUCUAAUUUUAGUGAGAUCUAGGGCACGAUCUGGUGCAUUUAUUUUAUCAAUCUUAUGACUGAUAUUGUAUCUGGAGAAUGAUUUUUUUUCGCAGGGUCCGAAUCCUGGAGGGAGCAAAAUAUUUUAAAUUUUGUUAUUCAUCAGUAUAUACUGCGUUGUUCAUCAGUAUAUACG